ACGUCUCAGUUCAGAUUGCAGGCUGCAACUCGCCUGCAUGAAGUCGGAAUUGCUAGUAAUCGCAGAUCAGCAUGCUGCGGUGAAUACGUUCCCGGGCCUUGUACACACCGCCCGUCACACCAUGGGAGUCGGUAACACCCGAAGUCGGUAGCCUAACCGUAAGGAGGGCGCCGCCGAAGGUGGGAUUGAUGACUGGGGUGAAGUCGUAACAAGGUAUC
rnacentral:rRNA from 1 species